AGGGGUAUCGCCAAGCGGUAAGGCAACGGACUCUGACUCCGUUAUUCGUAGGUUCGAAUCCUUCUACCCCUGCCA
rnacentral:tRNA from 1 species